CUGCAACUCGCCUACAUGAAGUCGGAAUUGCUAGUAAUCGCCGGAUCAGCAUGCCGCGGUGAAUACGUUCCCGGGCCUUGUACGCACCGCCCGUCACACCAUGGGAGUCGGUAACACCCGAAGCCUGUAGUCUAACCGCAAGGGGGACGCAGUCGAAGGUGGGAUUGAUGACUGGGGUGAAGUCGUAACAAGGUACC
rnacentral:rRNA from 1 species